AAAUUAAGAAAACCCUAACCUUAUUUGACAUGAAUUUCGCACCAUUCUCUCUUUCUCGCUCCUCAAAGAAAAAUUGCUGAAGAUUUUCUUGAUUAACGGCUAGUUUUCAAGAUUCAACACCGGCUGUUUUUCUUGAUCGCCGAAGAUUUUCUUGAUUAACAGCUAGUUUUCAAGAUUCAACACCGACUGUUUUUCUUGAUCGCCGAAGAUUUUCUUGAUUAACGGCUAGUUUUCAAGAUUAAACAACGGCUAUUUUUUUUUCUAUUUAAGGGCAACCCUAGCACUCUAGCUGGCCACUGGUUUCUGGAGUUGCUCCGAGAAGAUGGCUUUUGACUGCAUCGCCUUCAAAGCGCGCUUCAUCUAUUAAUGACUUGUCCCCGUUGGAGGUAAUCUUGGGCUCAGACUUGAUUUCAGGAAUGCUUUUUGACGUAUGCUUUAUUGUUCUAUGAGGGUAUAAGAACACUGAAGUUGGUCAGGAUGCUUCCAUUUGCGUACAAGUCAAGCUACCAUUUGUGCUAGACAGGAGAGGCCAGUGGUGUUUUCAGGUGACAAGAUUAUCUUUGUUGGUUCAAUGACGUGGUAAAAUGGGGGUGCUAUGCAGUCGAGUGCGUAUGAUUGUGCCGGAGCAGAGGGGUUUCAUGAAGACUUUGAUUCCACAGUUGUUGUUUGUCCUGUUAAAAGCCAGAGAAUCGAGCUGAUUGACGAGGUAGGAUGAUUGAGAUGACAGUUUAAGCUAUGACGACAACCAAUGCUUUUUUACGCAUGUUUUUUCCCCCAAUUUUAGAUUUGCCGGAACUGAUCUAUUGUGACUGCAUCAUGUAAAUGGAUUGGAAUUAUUGAAAUGGCUUCUUUGUGUUUUA